rnacentral:lncRNA from 1 species
AAGGAUGGCUCGGGAUGUUCUAUCGAUUCAAGCGUCAACUGUUGCAUCAGAGAGCCCUUUUAGUCAAGCAAGACUACAAAUAGGUGAUCAUAGAGCGUCGAUGCGGGACAGGUUGGAAAAAUCAGUGCUUUUCCGAGAUUGGAUCCGCUCUGAAAGAAGGAACUUUGGGCUAGCUGAAUCUCAACCAGAAAUAGAUGAGUGCUAUGAAGAAAUGCUAGCN